UUCCACAAUAUCGCCCUGAAUGCACCAGUCUCAGCUGAGUUUGGAAGCUAAGCAGGAUCAGGUCUGGUUAGAACUUGGAGGAGAGAUGACCAGUAAUCUCCAGGUUGAGCUAGGAA
rnacentral:rRNA from 1 species